UCCUACGGGAGGCAGCAGUGAGGAAUAUUGGUCAAUGGGCUUACGCCUGAACCAGCCAAGUCGCGUGAGGGAAGACUGCCCUAUGGGUUGUAAACCUCUUUUGUCAGGGAGCAACGCCGGCUACGUGUAGCCGGACUGAGAGUACCUGAAGAAAAAGCAUCGGCUAACUCCGUGCCAGCAGCCGCGGUAAUACGGAGGAUGCGAGCGUUAUCCGGAUUUAUUGGGUUUAAAGGGUGCGUAGGCGGUCGGAUAAGUUAGAGGUGAAAUCCCGAGGCCCAACUUCGGAAU
rnacentral:rRNA from 1 species